UAUUCAACAAAAUUUAAAAAAGGUCCAGUUAGAGAAAAUGUUUUGAAGCAAAGGUCCAGAAGAUCAUAAUGUCUAACAAUUUAGUGGUAUAUAUAUUUAAGUAGCCUAGUAGUUCUGAAUGUAAUCAAUAACUGACCGUCUAAUCAAAUUAAUUCAGUACAAUUCAAAAACUUGUUGACAAUAUUUAUUAUCACGAAACAUAGAACUGAACAUUAGGGUUGUCCUCGACUAAAGAAAUUCUUAGUCGACUAACACUUAUAUGAGUUUGUCGACUAAUCGAUUAGUUGAUUUAAUCGACAGAGCUGUGCAAGACUAGAAAAGCGCAAUAUAAAUGUAGUUAAUUAACCAUCUGUAAAACUGAGUUUCUCCGAAAUUAAUCCUGCAAAAGCACCACUUUAAAUCUCGUGUUCACCAGAAAUGUUCUCAUAAGUUACUUGGAAAUGAGUAAUUAAGCAUGAAUAAGCAUAAAAAAUGACUUAUCGACUAAAGAAAUCUUAGUCGACUAAGACCAAAACGACCGAUUAGUCGACUAAUCGACUAAGAGGGGCAGCCCUACUGAACAUAUAUGUAUGACUGUAGAUAUGUACAAUGUGCUCUCAUUAAUUAACUAAAUAAAACUAGGGCUGCAUGUCAAAAUAAGAGAAAAUAAAUAAAAUGUGAAAAUUGUGCAUUUUCAAAAAAAAGUGCUUAACUUCAGAAAAAUAAUAUAAAGGGAGGAAAAGUUUGAAUUUCCCCUUUUCUGUUUCACAUCUUGACUCAACAGUCUCAACCAAUUUUACAAAUAAUAAAUCUCAACAGAUCUUAACAAUUGAACAGUUUUAGAGUAUCACUUUCUUCCCCUCAUAUCCCACUCCACCAUGUUUUUGCUCAGUGAGAGAAUUGAGCUUUAGCCUGUCUUGCCAGAAUUUUAAACCUGGGCUUGAAUGGAGUCAGGGCCAUUCUCAUACACAUGUGAAGGUGCUCAUUGGUGAGCCUGGAACGAUAUUUAGUUUUAAUUAUGUUCAUUGUGGAGAAAGCUGCCUCGCAGUUGUAUGUGGAGCCAAACAUGGUCAAGAUGUAUAGGGCUACUUUCCUCAGAUCGGGGAAAGCAGUCUCAGGGACCAUUUGGAACCAGAAAGUGGAAGGGUCAGUUCUUACAAACUGCUCUUUCAGGGCCACAUCUGCUUGGAGAUCAACCAAUUGCAUCUGGAGAGACCCAGCAUUUACCCAUUUAAAGUGCUGUGUGACUUCCUUUGAGAACCCCCUGACAUCUGUGAUCAGAAAUGGGUUCUGAAUGAACAUGGUGAGCUGCUCUCCAAAGCUGAAGCUGUCAAAACGGUUGCUGAAGUUUACAAUCAGCUUAUCAAUAAAAUCAACAAAAGAAGACAAAUCUCUCUGUCCCUGAACCUGUUCCUGCACUGCUGGGAAGUGUACACAGUCUCCCUGCAGGUCUUCCUUGAACACUUCAAGUUUCCUCUGAAAGGAGCGAACAGCUGUCAUCAGUUCACAAAUUGAAUUGUCCUUGCCCUGUAGCCUCAAAUUCAGUUCAUUCAGAUGUGACGUGAUGUCAACCAAAAAGGCCACAUUAUCCAUCCAUUUCUCAUUUUCUAAAAAGAGAGAAAACUGUGUUGCCUUCUGACUGCUUAGCUCUGCCAAAAAGAUGCUAAUUCCCUCCUGAUGGACCAAAAGCGCUCUAGCACCCUGCCUUUGCUGAGCCAUCUCACAUUGUUGUGCAGCAAAAGAUCAUCAGCAUUGGCAUCAACUUCUCUGAGGAAUUCCCUAAGCAUGCGAUGCUGGUAGGAAGAGGAUGCCCUGAGAAAAUUUAUCAUUUUCAUCAUUGUAUUCAUCACCUCAGCAUGCUCAUCUGACAGGGAGGCACAGAGGACAGAUUGAUGAAUGAUGCAAUGGUAAGAUAAAAGCUCAGGAUUGUCCCCUUUCAGUCUUGCUACAGCUCCUUUUUCUUUCCCUAUCAUAGAAGGGGCUCCAUCUGUGGUUAUUGAAACCACUUGUUUUGGCUCUAUUCCUCUUUUUGUUAACAUCUCCUUAAUGGCCAGGUAGAUAUCCUCUCCUCUUGUACUGGUCUGAAGGGGAGUGACACCUAACAUGUCUUCACAGAAUGUUUUCUGGGCUGUGUUGAAAAACCUGGCAAACACUAACAGCUGAGCAUUGUCACAUAUGUCAGUGGACUCAUCCACAGCUAAGCCUACACAUGGUGCCUUAUGCAUGGCUUCAUCUAGCUGGGUUAGCACAUCCUGAGUUAAUAUUUCACUUUUCUUUGUGGCAGAUGAUGCUGACAUGGGAAUUUGCUUUAUUUUAUCACAAAGCUCAUUUUUUGUUUUCCCUCAAGUAGUGUUUCAGCUACUGCACUCAUGCAUUCUUUGACAACCCCUCCAUCUGUAAAUGGCUUUUUGUGUUUACCCAAAAUCCAAGAAACUCUGAGGGAACACUCAAGAGCACGUUGUUGGGCAGUGAAUGUGUUGCUCAGGAUCCUGGUGGACUGAAAUGAGUCUGUCCAUUCUGGAUUAAAUGCUCUGUUUUCAUUGUCCACUUUUCUUUUUUUGGAGAGUGCCAUUUGUUCCUUAUUUUCUCUAACUGUUACCCUUUUUCUGCCUCACUCGUCUGUUUCGCUCCCUUUCUCCGUCUCACUCAUAUUUUCGUCAACUUUCUCCGUCUCACUCGUAUUUUCCUCAGCUUUCUCCGGCACACUCGUCUGUAUCUCUCC